GUGGCCUGGUGGUUAGAGCAUCUGCCUCAGAUGCAGGAGGUCAUAGGUUCAAACCCUGGUUGACUCA